rnacentral:rRNA from 1 species
AGUGAACGCUGGCGGCGUGCUUAACACAUGCAAGUCGAGCGAAUUUUGGCAGCACAUCGCCAAAGUUAGCGGCAGACGGGUGAGUAAUACUUGGGCAAUCUGCCCUUGAGUGGGGGACAACCUGCCGAAAGGCGGGCUAAUACCCCAUAAGACCACGGGAAUGCAUAUUCCAGAGGUCAAAGCUCCGUAAGGGGCGCUUGAGGAGGAGCCCGAGUCCUAUCANGGUAGUUGGCGGGGUAAUGGCCCACCAAGCCGUUGACGGGUAGCCGGCCUGAAAGGGCAACCGGCCACACUGGCACUGAGACACGGGCCAGACUCCUACGGGAGCAGCAGUGGGGAAUUUUGGACAAGUGGGGGCAACCCUGAUCCAGCGACGCCGCGUGAAGGAUGAAGGUC